AACGAGUGAAGCAUCUCGCGCUGUUCAGCCCUCUCUGCUCUCCUCUCAUCAGCAGCAGCUCCGCCUCGCGACGCGAACCGCUGGCUGGUUCACCUCCAACCGACUCAACCCACAUCUGGCUGUCACACACAGCAGUGCUGCCGCUCCGUCCGGUACCGCGGCAUGCUCGUAUUCACACCGGGACAUACGUGGUGGAUUUAAAACCGGCGGGGCGCAAUGUCUGAGGUUCGAAAAUUCACAAAGAGGUUAAGCAAACCCGGGACGGCCGCGGAAGUCCGGCAGAGCGUGUCGGAGGCUGUGAAGAGCUCCGUGGACCUUGUGGAGCAGCCAAAGAUUAUUGAACCGCUGGACUAUGAAGCCGUGGUGUUUCAGAGAAAGGCCCAGAUCCACAGUGACCCCCACCGAGACCUGCUGCUCUGCCCCGUGGACGAUGUCUCGGAGUCCCAGGUCUCGCGGCAGAGGAGGACCGUCGUUCCCUCGGUGCCUCAGAACGCUGAGUGGGAAGCCCGGAGUCUGUUUGCCAAAGAGUGCAUCAAGAUGUAUAACACCGACUGGCACGUAAUCAACUACAAGUAUGAGGCUUACUCCGGUGACUUCCGCAUGUUGCCGAGCAAAGGCCUGAAGACGGACAAGCUGCCAGCCCACGUGUUCGAGAUCGACGAAGACACCAAAGACGAGGACACAUCGUCGAUGUGCUCCCAGAGGGGAGGCAUCAUGAAGCAGGGCUGGCUUCAGAAAGCCAACAUCAACAGCAGCCUGUCUGUCUCCAUGAGGGUGUUCAAAAGGAGAUUCUUCUACUUGUCUCAGCUCCCUGACGGCUCCUACAUCCUCAACUCCUACAAGGAUGAGAAGAACUGCAAGGAGACCAAAGGAUCCAUCUACCUGGACUCCUGUAUAGACGUUGUUCAGAGCCCUAAGAUGCGGCGCAAUGGCUUCGAGCUGAAGAUGCAGGACCGCUACAGCCACUUCCUGGCUGCGGACAGCGAAGCAGAGAUGGAGGAGUGGGUGAUCACGCUGAGACAGGCUCUGCAGAGCACCACCGAGGCCAGCCAGGACAGGAGGAAUGGUGCAGAGACGCUGGACUGUUCCCUGGAUGACGACACUACCAGCCAAGGUAAAGGUGAGAGCCUGCUGGAGAGCCUGGGGAGGAGCUUACAACCUGAACUUAUGAAGUACGCCAGGGAAACUGACCAGCUCAAUAAGAUGAACAGGAAUGAUGGCAGACCAAAGCUUUUCUCUCUGGAUCCUGAGACGCAGAGGCUGGACUUCUCAGGCAUCGAGCCAGAUGUGAAGCCCUUUGAGGAGCGCUUUGGCCGCCGCGUCGUGGUCAGCUGCCACGACCUGACCUUCAGUCUGCAGGGCUGCGUCAGUGAGAAGGGAGAUGGCGUCCUCACGAAUGUGGAACCGUUCUUCAUCAGCCUCGCCCUCUUUGACGUCUCCAAGAGCUGUAAGAUCUCGGCCGACUUCCACGUCGACCUCAACCCGCCCUGCGUCAGGGAGAUGCUGACCGACGCCUCGGGCCAGCUGUCCCCUUCAUCCGACUCAGAGGGCGGAGGAGGAGGAGUCAGGGAGGGAGGCGGGGGAGGUGGAGUCAUGGUGAACGGAGACUCCGCCAGAGGGAACGGCCUGCCCGUUCUCCAGAGGGUGUCGGAGGCUCUGCUGCGCUUCCCCACACAGGGGAUCUUUUCAGUGACCAACCCCCAUGCAGACAUCUUCCUGGUGGCCCGCGUGGAGAAGGUGUUACAGAACGGCAUCACGCACUGUGCCGAGCCGUACAUCAAGACCUCCGACAUCAACAAGACGGCUCAGAAGGUGCUCAAAGCUGCCAAGCAGACAUGCCAACGCUUGGGCCAGUACAGGAUGCCGUUUGCCUGGGCUGCCAAGCAAGUGUUCAAAGACGCCCAGGGCAGCCUGGACAUGGACGGUAAGUUUUCUCCUCUCUACCGCCAGGACAGCAGCAAAGUCUCCACUGACGACAUCAUCAAGCUGCUGGCCGACAUCAGGAAACCUGAGAAGAGCAAGCUUCAGACCAUCCCAGGACAGCUGAAUGUCACCAUUGAGUGUGUCCCACCUGACUUCUCAAAUACGGUGACUUCCUCUUACGUUCCCGUCAAGCCCUUCGAGGACGGCUGUGAACGGGUGUCGGUGGAGGUGGAGGAGUUUCUCCCCGACGAGGCCAAGUACAACUACCCCUUCACCACCUACAAGAACCAGCUGUACGUCUGCCCCCUGCAGCUCAAAUACGACAACCAGAAGACCUUCACCAAGGCGAGAAACAUUGCAGUCUGCAUCCAGUUCAGAGAUUCAGAUGGAGAAGGUACACCCCCUUUAAAGUGCAUCUACGGCAAGCCGGGAGACUCACUCUUCACCAGCAGCGCCUACGCAGCCGUCCUGCACCACAACCAGAGCCCGGAGUUCUACGACGAGGUGAAGAUUGAGCUGCCGGUCCACGUUCAUGAGAAACACCACAUCCUCUUCACCUUUUACCACGUCAGCUGUGAGUCCAGCAACAAGGCCAGCAGCAAGAGGAGAGAGGGAGUCGAGUCACUGGUGGGUUACUCUUGGAUGCCUUUGCUGAAAGACGGGAGGAUGCAGUCAGUGGAGCUCCAGUUGCCUGUAGCAGCCGCCUUGCCUGCUGGAUACCUGUGUCAGGACACCAGGAAGUCCCAGCCAGAUAUCAAGUGGGUGGAAAAUGCCAAGACACUGUUCAAAGUGAGGACCCACGUGGCAUCAACAAUAUCCGCUCAGGACCUGCAUCUACACAAAUUCUUCCAGCACUGCCAGCUGAUGAGGACGACAGCGGAGGGAAACCCAGCAGAACUGAUCAAAUACCUGAAGUGCCUGCAUGCCAUGGAGACUCAUGUAAUCAUCAACUUCCUACCAACGGUGCUGAUGCAGCUGUUUGGGGUGCUCACAGCAGCAACCAAAGUAACCCAUGAGAUUGCCGUCAACUCUCUGCGGGUGAUCAUACAUAUAGUCUCCAGAUGUCACGAGGAGGGCCUGGAACACUACCUGCGCUCUUUUGUUAAGUAUGUGUUUGUGGCCAACAACCCGGCAUCAGGAAACUCAGCGACCACCCAUGAGAUGCUGGCCACCGCUGUAACAGCCACCCUCAAGCAAACUGCCGAUUUCAACACCAGCAACAAACUGCUCAAGUACUCCUGGUUCUUCUUUGAAACAAUAGUCAAAUCUAUGGCCCAGUACCUGCAAGAGGGCAACCGCAUCAAGAUGCCGCGGCCCCAGCGCUUCCCCGACAGUUUCCACCAGGUGCUCCAGUCGCUGGUGUUGUCCAUCAUGCCACACAUCACCAUCCGCCACAUGGAAAUCCUAGAGGAAGCCCGUUGCAUCAACCUGAGCCUGGCCAAUUUCAUCAAGAGGUGCCUGACCGUCAUGAACAGGGGCUUUGCCUUCGGCCUGGUCAACCACUACAUGUGUCAUUUCGGUCUCAGAGAUCCCAAGGUGCUGACUGAAAUGAAAUUUGAUUUCCUGAUGACCGUGUGUAACCACGAACACUUCAUCCCUCUCAACCUGCCCAUGGCUUUUGGGCGCACUAAGAUGCAGCGGGUACAAGAUUUUAUACCGUAUGCGACGGAGCUUUUUGGCCCUGUAGAGCAGAGUCUGGAGUUCAGCCUGACAGAAGAGUACUGCCGUAACCACUUCCUGGUGGGCCUGCUGCUGAGAGAAGUGGCUGAGGCCUUGCAGCAGGGGCCCGAGGUCCGACAGCUGGCCGUGAGCGUUCUCAAGAACCUUCUUAUUAAGCACGCCAUGGACGACCGCUACACAGCGUUCAAGAAUCAGCAGGCCAGGAUCUGUUUGCUCUACCUGCCACUCUUUGAGCUGCUCUACCAGAACUUGAAGCAGCUGUCUGCCCAGCCACACAGCUCCAGCCCCGGGCUCGGCCUCAAUGGCUCCAGAGAUGACCUGAUAUCAACGGGGUCCACAGACAGCAGGAGAACCAGCACUGCAAUUGAGAGAGACCAUGGUCUGCCAGUUCAGAAUGGUCACGUUGUGAGGAGAGAGGACUCCCGAUGCUCUCUGUUCAUGGACUCGGGAACAGCAGACAGCACUGAGCUGCAGAGGCGUGGCUCCACCAUGAGCAGCAGCCCCGUGCCUCCCAUCGGCAGACUGGGACAGUAUGAGAUCAAGGGCCUCCUGCUCUCCUUCCUGCACAUCGCCAAGACCUUGUCAGAGGACACUCUCAUGGCCUACUGGAACAAAGUUGGCCCUCAAGACAUCAUGAACUUCCUCAGUUUGCUAGAGACCUGUGUGGUUCAGCUCCGGUACAUUGGAAAAAGGAACAUUGGGCGGAGUCAGGAGAUAUGUGUGCCGAAGCUGUUCUCCUCCGACAGGAAGUCUCAGACGAUGCCGGCUAUGCGCUGCAACCGAGCCAGCCUCAUGCAGACGAAGUUACACCAGUUCAGCACCAUGGAAGCCUCCCUCACUCUCAAUAUAGGGACGGGGCCAUCAGAAGCAGAGAUCCACCAUCAGGCUCUGCUGGAGGGCAACAUCUCCACUGAGGUCUCUCUCAGUGUCCUGGAUGUCCUCUCUCUUUUCACUCAGUGUUUUAAGACCCAGCUGCUGGACAGCGACGGUCACAACCCCCUGAUGAAGAAGGUGUUUGACGUUUACCUGACCUUCCUUAAAGUCGGCCAAUCAGAAGCCGCCCUCAGACACGUCUUCGCCGCGCUUAGGGCUUUCAUCAACAAGUUCCCGUCGGUGCUGUUUAAGGGACGCGUGACGCUGUGCGAGGCUCUGUGCUGCGAGGUGCUCAAGUGCUGCGUCUCCAAGCUGGGAUCUCUGAGGGCCGAGGUGUCGGCCCUGCUCUACCUGCUGAUGAGAAACAACUACGAGUACACCAAGAGGAAGACCUUCCUACGCACACACCUGCAGAUCAUCAUUGCUGUAAGCCAGCUGAUCUCCGACGUGGCGCUGACCGGCAGCUCUCGCUUCCAGGAGUCUCUCUCCAUCAUCAACAACUUUGCGAAUAGUGACAAGGCCAUGAAGUCCACAGCCUUCCCCACUGAAGUAAAGGGCCUGACCAAGCGGAUCCGCACCGUGCUGAUGGCCACGGCCCAGAUGAGGGAGCACGAGAGAGACCCGGAGAUGCUGCUGGACCUCCAGUACAGCCUGGCCCGGUCCUACGCCAGCACCCCCGAACUGAGACGAACCUGGCUGGACAGCAUGGCCCGAGCACACCUCAAGAACGGAGAUUUCUCUGAGGCGGCCAUGUGCUACGUUCAUGUGGCUGCACUGGUUGCAGAAUACCUGUACAGGAAAAAGUUGUUCCCCAGUGGCCUUGCCGCUUUUAAGAAGAUUACCUUGAAUAUUGAAGAGGAAGCUGCCAUGAGGGAAGACACCGGAAUGCAAGAUGUCUAUUACACUGAGGAAGUCCUGGUGGAACACCUCGAGGUCUGCGUGGAGGCACUGUGGAAAGCCGAACGCUAUGAGCUCAUCACGCACAUCGCCAAACUCAUCAUCCCCACCUACGAGAAGCGCCUCGAGUAUGAGAAACUAAGUCGACUGUACGACACUCUGCACAGAGCCUACAACAAGAUAAUGGAGGUGAUACAAUCAGGACGCAGGCUGCUCGGGACGUACUUCAGGGUGGCUUUUUACGGACAGGGCUUCUUCGAGGAGGAGGACGGGAAGGAGUACAUUUACAAAGAGCCCAAACUCACUGGCCUGUCCGAAAUCUCUCAGCGGCUGCUGUCACUCUACGGGGAAAAGUUUGGGCCGGAAAACGUCAAGAUCAUUCAGGACUCAAACAAGGUAAACCCCAAAGACCUGGACGCCAAGUUCGCCUACGUCCAGGUGACGUUCGUCAAGUCGUACUUUGAGGAGAAGGAGGCACCGGAGAAGAAGACAGACUUUGAGAAGUGCCACAACAUCAACCGCUUCGUGUUCGAGACGCCGUACACGCUGUCGGGCAAAAAACACGGCGGGGUGGAGGAGCAGUGCAAGAGGAGGAGCGUGCUCACAACUGCCAACACCUUCCCGUACGUGAAGAAGCGUGUGGAGGUGCUGGGGGAGAAGCAGGUGGAGCUCAAGCCGGUGGAAGUGGCCAUCGAUGAGAUGAAGGCGCGAACGGCAGAGCUGACCAAACUCUGCUCCAGCCAGGAGGUGGACAUGAUCCAACUGCAGCUCAAACUGCAGGGCUGCGUCUCUGUGCAGGUGAAUGCGGGUCCAAUGGCCUAUGCCAGAGCAUUCUUGGAUGACAGCAAAUCCAACCAGUCUGCCAUCAAGAAAGUGAAAGAUCUUAAGGACAUUUUCAGGCGUUUUGUUCAGGCUUGCAGUAUAGCUCUGGACAUAAAUGAGCGUCUUAUCAAAGAGGACCAGUUUGAGUACCAUGAGGGCCUGAAGGCCAACUUCAAAGACAUGGUAAAGGAGCUAUCCGACAUCAUCCACGAGCAGGUACUCUCGCCUUUUCUGGGGGACUUCUUUCUACCGUUACACCCCUGUUACACAAACGCUUAGCUCUGCUUUCAUGUGCAGUUGGUCACAAAGUCUGCUGCAGUGGUCUGGAAAUCAAACACGGGCCUCCUGUGUGGCCACUCAACUGUUAUCACUAUAAAACCAUUUUCCUGCUUAAUUUCAAAAAACAGUAUUUUAUUCACUGGAGAAUGCUGGAUGUGUUGAGUCAUUUGUUGUGAUGCUACAGUACGUUGUGGUUAGGGGGCUAAUAGUCACUGUGCGCGCAUGUAAUCAUGUCAUAUUCAGUUAAUCCAUACUGCUCACAGGGUUACAAAAUGACAUUUAGAAAAUUCAACAGCAACAUAAACGUCCCUGCUGCUCUACGUAAUCCUCAGACCUUACUAUAAAACAGGUAUCAUUGGAUCUACUUGAAUAUUUAAAUAUCUCAAAAUCUGGACAAAUACAACCAGAACCUUCUGUAUAGAUAGAAGCGAAUCCUUCAAAGGUGCUGAAUUCCAAAUUCAGAGCAUUUCUAUGAUUGAGGGAUUGCCUCCACACAGCUCUCAACAUGGCUAGACUGAGCCGGCGGCUAGCCGCUAACAGUGCGAACAACAGCAGCAGUGCUGACAGAGCACACAGUGUUUACCUGAGGGGCAACCGGAGGGUGGGGCACGCUCACUGGGACUCGCAAGCACUAGAAGCAUGCGCUUUUUUCUGGUAUAUUAAAGAUCAGAAUUUAAAAUGCAACACCUUUAAGAUGAUAUGUAAAGUCACUAUAGGGACAAUCACCACAGUUAAAAGCUUUUACUGUUGCAUUCUACUCAGCCAGGCUCCAUGUUAAAGGCAUGCUAAUGAGAUUAUCGUCCACUGAGCCUCGUGUGGAAUCAGCAACAUGCAAACAAUGGAAACUGUGACAAAUUAAACUGCACAUACACAUGAACCAGCAUUAACUUUUUUUAAUUCUGGUCUCCAUCACCAUGGUUUCUCCAUCCACAACUACACACACAAAGUCAAUUUGUUUUCAACACGGGCAGAGAAAGAGCCAUUAUCACCGCACCAACCCUGCUGGUUGCGUUUCAUGAAAGCAGGUCUGAUUUCAUAAACACGUUGGCCUCACGUUUCCAGAAGCUUCCAGCGGCGUUAAUGUGGUUGCGGCUGUCAAAAAUAGACCGACUCGCUGAUGAGACUUGGAGUGAGUCAUAAUGAGUUGCGGGAGCUGUUUAACAUCCUGGAAUAAAAGAAAACUGAUUUCCUGGAAAGAAUCACUCCCAUCAUCAUGCACUCAUCUGCUCUUAAAAUCCUUGUCAAUAGAAUUGAGCUGAUUCUCCUCAUGUAUGUGUGUGUGUGUGUGUGUGUGUGUGUGUGUGUGUGUGUGUGUGUGCAAAAUAAUAUCAUGUGGCAGUCAUUUUACAGAGAGGGAAUUGACAAUGUUUACUUUGUCCUCUUCCCAUCAGUGCAAUGUGUUGUGGUUGUAUUGUAGCAGUGUUGUUCUGCCUGCUGACAUUUGAUAUCACUUUAGCUGCUCUGAACUAACUGGUCUGCCUCUUUCUCUCCAUUGUGCUGGCCAUUAGCUUUAAGGAAAAACAGAUCUACCAGGAAGAUAUGAUGCGCUCGCUGUUACAAAACUCCCUCCAUGUGUUCCGUGCCAUCAGCGGGACGUCCA